UACGUAGGGUGCGAGCGUUGUCCGGAAUUAUUGGGCGUAAAGAGCUUGUAGGCGGUUUGUCGCGUCUGCUGUGGAAAUCCGAGGCUCAACCUCGGACUUGCAGUGGGUACGGGCAGACUAGAGUGUGGUAGGGGAGACUGGAAUUCCUGGUGUAGCGGUGAAAUGCGCAGAUAUCAGGAGGAACACCGAUGGCGAAGGCAGGUCUCUGGGCCACUACUGACGCUGAGAAGCGAAAGCAUGGGGAGCGAACAGG
rnacentral:rRNA from 1 species